GGGGCCGGCGAGGGGAGGCCGGGGAUGAGGGGCGAGGACCGAGGAGCCCGCGGAGCGGCGGGGUGAAGUCUAUAUGGAGAUGGAGAUGGAGAUGACUAACAGUCUUUGGCCUAAUGUGAAAACCUCCCCAAAACACAGAGCACUGGAAAUUUUAAAUAAAUGGGUGCGAAUAUGCUAAGAAGCCAAGGGAACCCCAGCCCUCUUCUACCAGACUGUAUGGCCUCAGAUCUGCAAGGGGAGUACUGGAGUUAGGGAUACCAGUGAAGGAGGUUCCACAUCUGCAGAUUCAACCAACUGCAAAUUGAAAAUAUUCAGGAAGGGACUUCCCUGGUGGCGCAGUGGUUAAGAAUCCGCCUGCCAAUGCAGGGGACACAGGUUCGAGCCCUGGUCCGGGAAGAUCCCACACGCCGCGGAGCAACUAAGCCCACGAGCCACAACUGCUGAGCCUGCGUGCCACAACUACUGAGUCUGCGUGCCACAACUACUGAAGCCCGUGCGCCUAGAGCCCAUGCUCUGCCACAAGAGAAGCCACCGCAAUGAGAAGACUGUGCACCGCAACAAAGAGUAGCCCCCGCUCGCCGCAACUAGAGAAAGCCUGCACGCAGCAACGAAGACCCAACG